CAGCCUGGUCUACAAAGUGAGUUCCAGGACAGCCAGGGCUAUACAGAGAAACCCUGUCUCGAAAAACAAAGAAAAAAAAAAGCAGAAUACCAUCAAACAUUGUUGAUGGUGCCAAAUUAUGUCCUUUAACACACACAGCUACAGAACCAGCUAUUUGGAGCCUAUUUUAACAAUUCUAUGCAUCUUGCUGGAUACAGUGUCUUAGGGUUUUAUUGAAUAAUAAGACACUAUGUCCAUGGCAACUCUUUUUUUUUUUUCUUCCAGUUCUCCUGAAACUGGAGUUACAGACAGUUAUGAGCUGCCAGAGGAUGUCAUGAGCAACUCUAACCCUGAUACGUGUUGUCUAGCCUCCGAAGCUCUCUGGAACCUUUGGGUAAACUUUCAUGACUCCUACUCCUUUGAUGCUCCCAGGUGAGGGUAUAUCAGUCUCCUAAGACCACAGCUUCAGUGACCUCUGUGUGCUUUUGACUCUGAGCCAGGAAAUAUACUGUCCUAGGUGGCUGAUCACUGAGUACAAAGCCCUCACGGUUCUCGUUGUGAAUCCACUAUGCUGGAUGAAUAAGAACAUGCCCCGUAGGCUCAUAUAUUUGAAUGGCCAGUCGUGGGUUGGCAGAAUGUUUGUGAAGGAUUAGGAGGUGUAGCCUCGUUGCAAGAUGUGUGGCACCUUCGUCAGAGGGGGCAUGGCUGAUGUGUCUCUCUGCCUGCUGCCUGUGGAAUACGAUGUAAAUCUCUCAGCUAUUGCUCUAGCAUUAUGCCUGCAUGCAGCCAUGAUGAUCAUGGACUAAGCCUCUGAAACUGUAAGCAGGGCCUCAGUUAAGCUAAGCUUUCUUUUGUAAGAGUUGACUUGGUCAUGGCGUCUCUUCACACCAAUAGGACUAAGACAGUCACUUUUCGAAUGAAAGUUUUUCAAGUGAAUUUGCAACUGCUUACACUCGAACUCAGAAGGGUUGGAGGCUUUCCUUCAAGGCAUCUUUCUUCUGACUAUCAGAGCUAAGUCAAUGGUUUCUCCUUGAUAUCACUAGUCCCUUUAACAAUGCCAUCCACUUUGUCUGCACUUGCUCUCUAAAGAGUUUUAACCAGCUUCUGGCUCCCUUCCUCACCUAACUGCACAUUCCAUCUAUUCUGUCUGCAGCUUUAGCUGGGGAUCUGCUUUUCUCUGCACCAAACUAUGUUUUCAUGUCUUCUGGCCCUACUUUCUCCUCUGUCUAAGUGCAGAUCUGGAUAAAUGCAGCCCGUGAGAGUGUGCCUCUAUCUAGUGGUAAAUGAAAAUCUCUUCCAAAAAGAAACUUAAGAGAGGGAGGCUUUGCUUGGACUCUGUUUGGGAGUUACAGGCCAUCACUCAGGACAAGGUCUAGGAACCAGAGCUUGAGGCUGCUGUACUUCUCUGCAGAGCAAGAAACAAGAAGAAAAAAUGCUGGCCCUUAGCUAUGGGACUUUAGACAAGUACACCUGGGUUUCCUUGUCUGUAACAUACAAAUUAUAAGGCUUGCCUCAUAUUUGAAGGAAAUGAAGUGAAAAACAGAAUGCAAAGCACCUAUGACAAUGGCUGUCACAUGCAGGGACACAAAUACGUUUAUCUCCAUUCCUAACCAAUUUUCCCAAUCACAGUGGUUCAGAACAAGGGUGAUGGAGCAAACAUACCUAAGCUUGCAUCCUUGUUCUUCUGCGAGUCUGAACCAGAUAUUUAAUCUCUCUACACCUAUAUUUCCUCAUCCAUAAACUAGAAUACUUAUCUAUUAGAUUGCUAAAAUGUUGCUAAAGAUUUCAAGAGUAAUAGAAUAGAGGACACAUAGUUCACUAAACCUAAGACUCCAUCCAGUUCAAAUGCAGCCUGGUUUUAGAAAUGUAUGUGGAGAACUGCUUAUAUUAUUGAAUUGAUAAAAUAUGGUGGUAAGCCCCCGUUAAAUACUAUACUUUGUUACUUCAUAUAACUUCUUAUUGAGAUGGCUUGUUUGGAGGUGCAGGGGUAUGGCUUACAGACAUUGGAAAGGUCACCCUUUGUCCCAGAAUGCCGAGUGAAGUUAUAUUGGCUACAAUAUAGGAUAAUAAAUGUGCUAUCAGGAGUGUGUGCAUUGGGCAAA